rnacentral:rRNA from 1 species
AUUGAACGCUGGCGGCAGGCCUAACACAUGCAAGUCGAGCGGAUGAAGGGAGCUUGCUCCUGGAUUCAGCGGCGGACGGGUGAGUAAUGCCUAGGAAUCUGCCUGGUAGUGGGGGAUAACGUCCGGAAACGGGCGCUAAUACCGCAUACGUCCUGAGGGAGAAAGUGGGGGAUCUUCGGACCUCACGCUAUCAGAUGAGCCUAGGUCGGAUUAGCUAGUUGGUGGGGUAAGGGCCUACCAAGGCGACGAUCCGUAACUGGUCUGAGAGGAUGAUCAGUCACACUGGAACUGAGACACGGUCCAGACUCCUACGGGAGGCAGCAGUGGGGAAUAUUGGACAAUGGGCGAAAGCCUGAUCCAGCCAUGCCGCGUGUGUGAAGAAGGUCUUCGGAUUGUAAAGCACUUUAAGUUGGGAGGAAGGGCAGUAAGUUAAUACCUUGCUGUUUCGACGUUACCAACAGAAUAAGCACCGGCUAACUUCGUG